rnacentral:lncRNA from 1 species
CUGAGUUCGUAAUCUUCGUCUCUUUUUGCUUGUUGUGUUAAGAGCUUGGUUCUCGUUUCGGAGAACGAGGUUUUUGGCUUCGAGAGCUCCGGGCUUCUCGGCGCUUUGGUCCAACUGUUUGGAGUGUUCAUCUAGCUUAUAUUUUAAGCCUUGAACUUCUGAAAGAAGCUCAGGAUUCUCUACGGCUGUUUCCCGAGCCUUGUGCAGCUCGAUGACUUGACCUUGGAGGGCAUCGAGUCGGUUUAGCAACUCGAUUUCACUCGGGGUAGCUUGAGGUUGCUCGUCACACUCUUCUGCUGCCAUUGUCACGUAGUUAGGAUUACUCAUCUCCUUCUAGCGCCAAACUGUUAGGGUAUUUUUGUGUAUGGUCGUUUUUAAUACCACAGAACAAUAGAAGAGCUAGAGAAAAUCAAGAGAAUCGAGACUAAAAGAUGUUUUAUUGAUGAAUUGAGCAGGAACUAUAACGUUUGGUGUAUAAA